rnacentral:rRNA from 1 species
AUUGAACGCUGGCGGCAGGCCUAACACAUGCAAGUCGAACGAGAGGCGGACGGGUGAGUAAUGUCUGGGAAACUGCCCGAUGGAGGGGGAUAACUACUGGAAACGGUAGCUAAUAACGCAUACCAUCAGAUGUGCCCAGAUGGGAUUAGCUUGUUGGGGGGGUAAAGGCUCACCAGGGCGACGAUCCCUAGCUGGUCUGAGCGGAUGACCAGCCACACUAGGACUGAGACACGGUCCAGACUCCUAAGGGAGGCAGCAGUGGGGAAUAUUGCACAAUGGGCGCAAGCCUGAUGCAGCCAUGCCGCGUGUAUGAAGAAGGCCUUCGGGUUGUAAAGUACUUUCAGCGGGGAGGCGUUACCCGCAGAAGAAGCACCGGCUAACUCCGUGCCAGCAGCCGCGGUAAUAC